CGAACGAUAAAGGGACUUCGGUCCUGAGCUAGAGUGGCGCACGGGUGAGUAACACGUGGAUAACCUGCCUUGAACUCUGGGAUAACAUUUCGAAAGGGAUGCUAAUACCGGAUAAGCCUACGACCUCUCCGGAGGAUGUAGGAAAAGAUUUAUUGCUUCAGGAUGGGUCCGCGGUCCAUUAAUUAGUUGGUAGGGUAAUGGCCUACCAAGGCGACCAUGGAUAGCUGGUCUGAGAGGAUGAUCGACCACACUGGAAGUGACACACGGUCCAGACUCCUACGGAAGGCAGCAGUGGGGAAUUUUGCGCAAUGGGCGAAAGCCUGACGCAUCAACCCCGCGUGAAGGAUGAAGGCCCUUGGGUCGUAAACUUCUGUCAUUGGGGAAGAAAUGCCCGUAAAGGAUCUGACGGUUCCCACUGAGGAAGCACCGGCUAACUCCGUGCCAGCAGCCGCGGUAAUACGGAGGGUGCAAGCGUUGUUCGGAAUUAUUGGGCGUAAAGCGCGUGUAGGCGGUCUGUUAAGUCUGGUGUGAAAGCCCUGGGCUCAACCCAGGAAGUGCAUUGGAUACUGGCAGACU
rnacentral:rRNA from 1 species